GGAGAGAUCGCAUAGUGGUCGAGUGCGCUCGCUUGGAAAGCGAGUAAACCUUCACCGGUUUCGGGGGUUCGAAUCCCCCUCUCUCCGCCA
rnacentral:tRNA from 1 species